rnacentral:rRNA from 1 species
ACCUACGGGGGGCAGCAGUGGGGAAUAUUGGACAAUGGGGGGAACCCUGAUCCAGCGACGCCGCGUGAGUGAAGAAGUAUUUCGGUAUGUAAAGCUCUAUCAGCAGGGAAGAAAAUGACGGUACCUGACUAAGAAGCCCCGGCUAACUACGUGCCAGCAGCCGCGGUAAUACGUAGGGGGCAAGCGUUAUCCGGAUUUACUGGGUGUAAAGGGAGCGCAGACGGCUGUGCAAGUCUGGAGUGAAAGGCGGGGGCCCAACCCCCGGACUGCUCUGGAAACUGUAAAGCUGGAGUGCAGGAGAGGUA